CCCCCGAGUCCUGGUGCACAUGCACACAAUUACACACAGAGGGAGUCACUGUGCAGCUGUGACGGCUGGACAACACACACACACACACACAGGAGGUGUGUAACGGAUUGAACCCCCCCUCAUAGCUGCGCUGUCUUCGAGGUCGCAGGCGGAUGAGACCACAGCUGCUUGGACAUAAAUUUCCAAAAGGAAUGUCGGAGCACUCGGCAUAAAAACCAAGACUGUGUGUGUGUGUGUGUGUGUGUGUGUGUGUGUGAGGAGGAGGAGGAGGAGUGUGUGUGUGCAGGAGGAGGAGUGUGUGUGUGUGUGUGUGCAGGAGGAGUAGUGUGUGUAGGAGAAGGAGUGUGUGUGUGUAUGUGUGUGUGUAGGAGAAGGAGUGUGUGUGUGUGUGUGAGUGUGUGCAGGAGGAGGAGUGUGUGUG
ensembl:lncRNA